rnacentral:rRNA from 1 species
UACGUAGGGUGCAGGCGUUAAUCGGAAUUACUGGGCGUAAAGCGUGCGCAGGCGGCUCCUUAAGUCAGAUGUGAAAGCCCCGGGCUUAACCUGGGAACUGCGUUUGAAACUGGGGAGCUGGAGUGUAGAAGAGGGGGGUGGAAUUCCAGGUGUAGCAGUGAAAUGCGUAGAUAUCUGGAGGAACACCGGUGGCGAAGGCGGCAUCCUGGACCGAGACCGACGCUGAGGCGCGAAAGCUAGGGGAGCAAACGGG